UGGGGAAUAUUGCACAAUGGGGGAAACCCUGAUGCAGCGACGCCGCGUGGAGGAAGAAGGUCUUCGGAUUGUAAACUCCUGUUGUUGGGGAAGAUAAUGACGGUACCCAACAAGGAAGUGACGGCUAACUACGUGCCAGCAGCCGCGGUAAAACGUAGGUCACAAGCGUUGUCCGGAAUUACUGGGUGUAAAGGGAGCGCAGGCGGGAAGACAAGUUGGAAGUGAAAUCCAUGGGCUCAACCCAUGAACUGCUUUCAAAACUGUUUUUCUUGAGUAGUGCAGAGGUAGGCGGAAUUCCCGGUGUAGCGGUGGAAUGCGUAGAUAUCGGGAGGAACACCAGUGGCGAAGGCGGCCUACUGGGCACCAACUGACGCUGAGGCUCGAAAGUGUGGGUAGCAAACAGGAUUAGAUACCCUGGUAGUCCACACCGUAAACGAUGAUUACUAGGUGUUGGAGGAUUGACCCCUUCAGUGCCGCAGUUAACACAAUAAGUAAUCCACCUGGGGAGUACGACCGCAAGGUUGAAACUCAAAGGAAUUGACGGGGGCCCGCACAAGCAGUGGAGUAUGUGGUUUAAUUCGACGCAACGCGAAGAACCUUACCAAGUCUUGACAUCCGUUGACCGCUGUAGAAAUACAGUUUUCCUUCGGGACAGCGAGACAGGUGGUGCAUGGUUGUCGUCAGCUCGUGUCGUGAGAUGUUGGGUUAAGUCCCGCAACGAGCGCAACCCUUAUGGUCAGUUACUACGCAAGAGGACUCUGGCCAGACUGCCGUUGACAAAACGGAGGAAGGUGGGGAUGACGUCAAAUCAUCAUGCCCUUUAUGACUUGGGCUACACACGUACUACAAUGGCGUUAAACAAAGAGAAGCAAGACCGCGAGGUGGAGCAAAACUCAGAAACAACGUCCCAGUUCGGACUGCAGGCUGCAACUCGCCUGCACGAAGUCGGAAUUGCUAGUAAUCGUGGAUCAGCAUGCCACGGUGAAUACGUUCCC
rnacentral:rRNA from 1 species